GUCUUUUUGAAAAUAAUUUAAAGUCAAAUCUGCCCACUGAAUUUAUUUAAAGGGCUGCAGUAUAUUGACUGUACAAAGGUAGCAUAAUCAUUAGUCUUUUAAUUGAAGACUUGUAUGAAUGAUUUGAUGAGAUAUAAACUGUCUCUUUAUUAAUAAAUAGAAUUUAAUUUUUUAGUUAAAAAGCUAAAAUAAUUAUAAAAGACGAGAAGACCCUAUAGAGUUUUAUAUUUUUAUAAAUUUAAAUUUAUAUAUUUAAAAUUUAAAUUUAUAAAAAUAUUUUAUUGGGGUGAUGGAAAAAUUUAUGAAACUUUUUUUAAAAAUUAAACAUUUAUAUAUGAAUAUAUGAUCCAUAAUUUAUGAUUAUAAGAAUAAAUUACCUUAGGGAUAACAGCGUAAUUUUUUUUUUUAGUUCGUAUAAAAAUUAAAGUUUGCGACCUCGAUGUUGGAUUAAGAUAAAAUUUAAAUGCAAAAGUUUAAAAUUUUGAUCUGUUCGAUCAUUAAAAUCUUACA
rnacentral:rRNA from 1 species